rnacentral:sRNA from 1 species
GAGCUAGUUUUAGGCCCAUAUGAGCCAUACAGUGCGUGUGCUGGCAAUACGCAAAAUCCGCUUCUUGUUCUGGGAGAAAUUGUCUAUUCAAACCUGGUUGAGACAAAGUUGUGUAUGUCAUGCUAAAACAUCAAAGGCUAGCAAGGAACGGCGUUGCGCACUCUGUAGAGAGCAAUAGAUCGCCCGUUCCUCAUCAUGACAAUGAGGACGCGCUAGAAUCAGCAUGCUGCGGAAUGGUCCAAGAGACGGCAGGGAAGUCUUUCUGCGGAUAUUCUGCCUGUACUUGUGUAACAAACUCCAGUUCACCUACA